rnacentral:rRNA from 1 species
GACGUAGGGCGCGAGCGUUGUCCGGAUUUAUUGGGCGUAAAGAGCUCGUAGGCGGUCUGUCGCGUCUGCUGUGAAAUCUGGGGGGCUCAACCCCCCAGCCUGCAGUGGGUACGGGCAGACUAGAGUGAUGUAGGGGGAGACUGGAAUUCCUGGUGUAGCGGUGAAAUGCGCAGAUAUCAGGAGGAACACCGAUGGCGAAGGCAGGUCUCUGGGCAUUAACUGACGCUGAGGAGCGAAAGCAUGGGGAGCGAACAGG